CUCAAAGGAAUUGACGGGGACCCGCACAAGCAGUGGAGUAUGUGGUUUAAUUCGAAGCAACGCGAAGAACCUUACCAGGUCUUGACAUCCCCCUGAAUCCGUCAGAGAUGGCGGCGGCCUUCGGGACAGGGGAGACAGGUGGUGCAUGGUUGUCGUCAGCUCGUGUCGUGAGAUGUUGGGUUAAGUCCCGCAACGAGCGCAACCCUUGACUU
rnacentral:rRNA from 1 species